AUGAACGCUGGCGGCGUGCCUAAUACAUGCAAGUCGAGCGAACAGACGAGGAGCUUGCUCCUCUGACGUUAGCGGCGGACGGGUGAGUAACACGUGGAUAACCUACCUAUAAGACUGGGAUAACUUCGGGAAACCGGAGCUAAUACCGGAUAAUAUAUUGAACCGCAUGGUUCAAUAGUGAAAGACGGUUUUGCUGUCACUUAUAGAUGGAUCCGCGCCGCAUUAGCUAGUUGGUAAGGUAACGGCUUACCAAGGCAACGAUGCGUAGCCGACCUGAGAGGGUGAUCGGCCACACUGGAACUGAGACACGGUCCAGACUCCUACGGGAGGCAGCAGUAGGGAAUCUUCCGCAAUGGGCGAAAGCUUGACGGAGCAACGCCGCGGGAGUGAUGAAGGUCUUCGGAUCGUAAAACUCUGUUAUUAGGGAAGAACAAAUGUGUAAGUAACUAUGCACGUCUUGACGGUACCUAAUCAGAAAGCCACGGCUAACUACGUG
rnacentral:rRNA from 1 species